GAGGGGAAUUCUUUAGACGAUAUCUCAUGUGGAAAUGUGACGAUUACGAACUUGGUUACGUUGGAUUCAUCAGUGUUUCCUGAUUUAAGUGGUCCUCAAUAGUCAAGGAAGAUUCCUAUCUUCAAAUAAAAAAUGAAAAUAGCAAAUUUGUUCUAACACAUUUUUUGAGUAAAAAUCUUUUGCGCAGGAAGAUUCAAUCUCCUAUAACUUGUUGUCCAAUGCAGGAAGUUAGAAAAUUGACUCUUGAUCGGGUGGCAUGAAGGGAGGAGAAAUGAAGUCAGAAAAUUGACUUCGAAGAAUCUCAGGAAGUCAGAAAAUUGACUCCUGAUCGGGUGGUAUGAAGGGAGAAAGAAGGAAGUCAGAAAAUUN
rnacentral:lncRNA from 1 species